AGGCUUAACACAUGCAAGUCGAGGGGCAUCAGUUUGGUUUGCUUGCAAACCAAAGCUGGCGACCGGCGCACGGGUGGGUAACACGUAUCCAACCUGCCUCAUACUCGGGGAUAGCCUUUCGAAAGAAAGAUUAAUAUCCGAUAGCAUAUAUUUCCCGCAUGGGUUUUAUAUUAAAGAAAUUCGGUAUGAGAUGGGGAUGCGUUCCAUUAGUUUGUUGGCGGGGUAACGGCCCACCAAGACUACGAUGGAUAGGGGUUCUGAGAGGAAGGUCCCCCACAUUGGAACUGAGACACGGUCCAAACUCCUACGGGAGGCAGCAGUGAGGAAUAUUGGUCAAUGGACGCGAGUCUGAACCAGCCAAGUAGCGUGAAGGAUGACUGCCCUAUGGGUUGUAAACUUCUUUUAUAUGGGAAUAAAGUGGUCCACGUGUGGAUUUUUGUAUGUACCAUAUGAAUAAGGAUCGGCUAACUCCGUGCCAGCAGCCGCGGUAAUACGGAGGAUCCGAGCGUUAUCCGGAUUUAUUGGGUUUAAAGGGAGCGUAGGCGGAUUGUUAAGUCAGUUGUGAAAGUUUGCGGCUCAACCGUAAAAUUGCAGUUGAUACUGGCAGUCUUGAGUGCAGUAGAGGUGGGCGGAAUUCGUGGUGUAGCGGUGAAAUGCUUAGAUAUCACGAAGAACUCCGAUUGCGAAGGCAGCUCACUGGAGUGUAACUGACGCUGAUGCUCGAAAGUGUGGGUAUCAAACAGG
rnacentral:rRNA from 1 species